UACGUAGGGGGCAAGCGUUGUCCGGAAUCAUUGGGCGUAAAGCGCGUGUAGGCGGCUUGGUAAGUCUGGUGUGAAACCUCGGGGCUCAACCCCGAGCCUGCACUGGAUACUGCCUCGCUCGAGUCCGGGAGGGGAGAGCGGAAUUCCUAGUGUAGCGGUGAAAUGCGCAGAUAUUAGGAAGAACACCGGUGGCGAAGGCGGUGAGCUGGGCAGUAGCUGACACUGAGGCGCGACAGCGUGGGGAGCAAACAGG
rnacentral:rRNA from 1 species